GCUUGUGGAGGGGAGAACUUUAAACUACUUAAAAUCCGAUUGUUAUCCAAAUGAGACGUGGAGCACUUCAGAUUGAUGGACGAUCUAAGCUCUUAAUAGAACCCCAUUUGAUAUGCCACUUAACUUCACUUCAACCCCUCUGCGGAGUACUCUGCUUUGUACUCCACUCGCUUAUGCCAAAAGUUCAUUUCAGUUCUUGUUUUUUGGCGGUCACUGAACUCCCACACACUUCUUCUUUUGGUUCAACUUCUGCUUUUGCCUCAUUUGCAUUUUAGAACAGCUAUUUAAUUGCGUUUAAUUAGACUCGAAAUCAUUAUGGAUAAUUAAGAACUAUUUUGCAUUCUUUUCAUACACUUUGCGUUUGCGCUUAGUUGAAUUUUUAAUCUCAAAACUCUUCAAAGGCAACAACCUUAUAAAAUAAAUUAUGCAUGACUCGCAAUAUGAUUUAGAUUUAUUAAGGCACACAAUUCUUGACUGAUUGUCGCAUAAAUUCUCAUUUCGAGCACACUGAUGACGAGAUCAGAGUGAAUUCUGCUGCCUAAAAUGUAUUUCAUUUUGUUUCGAUUUCAAUGAUAAAUUAUUCAUAAACGAAUCCAAAAUUAAAUCGUAUAUUUUAAGCCAGUUCAAUGAACUAAAAGUAGGCAACAUUUUCAUUAUUAUUUGGCUUAAAACAAACAGCGGGAACGAAGAGAGCUCCAAGAGCUGGACUGGAGGAUUAGAGGCAGCAGAAGAGUACUCGAAACGGGCACAAGCAAAUACCCGUAAUGCGAAAUAAUUCGCCUCGUUUUUUUUUCAACUGAGAAUCAAAUAUGUGGAAUGGAGCUGUGGAGAUGGGUGUGUCAGGUGGUGGCUGGAUGGAUGAUUGCUUGCCGAUUAUCGACUCAUUUGCAUACACACACACACACACACACACUCGUGGAAGUUAAUGAAAUUUCUCAAAUAUUCAUUUGAGGGGAUAAAGUCUUCGAUGGGUGUUUGUGACUAGCAUACUGAAUAGUCUC